rnacentral:rRNA from 1 species
AACGAACGCUGGCGGCAGGCUUAACACAUGCAAGUCGAGCGCCCCGCAAGGGGAGUGGCCGACGGGUGAGUAACGCGUGGGAACGUACCCUUUGCUACGGAAGAGCUCCGGGAAACUGGAAUUAAUACCGUAUGUGCCCUACGGGGGAAAGAUUUAUCGGCAAAGGAUCGGCCCGCGUUGGAUUAGCUAGUUGGUGGGGUAAUGGCCUACCAAGGCGACGAUCCAUAGCAGGUCUGAGAGGAUGAUCAGCCACAUUGGGACUGAGACACGGCCCAAACUCCUACGGGAGGCAGCAGUGGGGAAUAUUGGACAAUGGGCGCAAGCCUGAUCCAGCCAUGCCGCGUGAGUGAUGAAGGCCUUAGGGUUGUAAAGCUCUUUCACCGGAGAAGAUAAUGACGGUAUCCGGAGAAGAAGCCCCGGCUAACUUCGUGCCAGCCGCCGCGGUAAGAC